rnacentral:rRNA from 1 species
UACGUAGGGUGCAAGCGUUAAUCGGAAUUACUGGGCGUAAAGCGUGCGCAGGCGGUGAUGUAAGACAGUUGUGAAAUCCCCGGGCUCAACCUGGGAACUGCAUCUGUGACUGCAUCGCUGGAGUGCGGCAGAGGGGGAUGGAAUUCCGCGUGUAGCAGUGAAAUGCGUAGAUAUGCGGAGGAACACCGAUGGCGAAGGCAAUCCCCUGGGCCUGCACUGACGCUCAUGCACGAAAGCGUAGGGAGCAAACAGG